AGAGAGUACGUAUGGAACAGAUAAAUAUCUGAUUGCCUCCUUUACUGUAUGUUUUCCACUGAGAUGAAGAUUUUGGUCAUUUCCUCAUUCAUGUUCCUGCUUUUCAAAACCCAAGCAAGAAAGGAAACUUCUACAGUGACUUUCUCAUUAUGAAAUCUUAGCAUUCACUAGUCGGCCAUAAUGGAAAACCAGCCAAAUGGACACAUAUACACUGGUCUGUACCCGCAGAGAAAGAAAUGCAAAUCUCUGUGAUCAGAAAACUAUCCUAUCUUGUACAUUGUUAAAAGUCUGCCUCCAAAAAGUUUACUUCUGGAAUACUGUAAUUGAAUAGAAUCAGGGAUCCUACCUGUGUCCUUCAACUUUCACAUCUUGUCUACUCAAGUAAGGGUUGAAUUUGCAUGACUAUAUCUAAGGUUCGAGGGCUUACCUGUUGGCAGUAGACCCAGUAGUCUAUGAAUGGAAAUGGGCAAACCUGUGACCUCCCAAAACUUUAAUAUGAAAGUUUUGUUUGUGUAUACUCAUGGCAUUAUUCUUUUAAUAAAGAGAUAAUCUAUAUA
rnacentral:lncRNA from 1 species